CUCUGAUGACUCUAGCUUG
rnacentral:piRNA from 1 species